CCGGGCCGUACGACGUGCGG
rnacentral:misc_RNA from 1 species